rnacentral:lncRNA from 1 species
UAAAAUAGAAUUGACGUUUUGGACGAUUUCAAGAGUUUUGUAAUAGAUCUACAAGUAAAAUUUUGUGAAUUAAUGGUUAUAGUUGUGUUUAAUAUGUAUUGUGAAUUUUAGCUUUAUCUAAUUGUUGAAUUGAGGGUUAUUGAGGUUUAAGUGGGUCAAGGUAUCAGAAAGUAGAAUUUUAGGUUGAGUGAGGGUUUUUAAGAUUUCUUGCAAUCUACUAAUUGGAUUGGAGUGAAAUUUAUGAGUGAAGAUAGUAGACUUAUUUUCAUAUAUAUAUAUAUAUAUAUAUAUAUAUAUAUAUAUGAAAAUUUUAAAAUCAAUUGAAUAAUGAAAAAAAGAGAUAUUGGCUCUGGGAGAUUGGCAUGAAGGUCGGAGAAGGAGUCUAGCUAAUAUUUGAGCACGUUUUUGAGGUUAUCAUCUAUUUGGUAAUUUUAAUAUUUUUUAAUUUUUUUAUUUGUUUUAACUUAAUUAUUAAGAAGUGUAUAAAUUUUGAACUAAAAUCAAUGGUUCAUUUAUUAGUUAUUGAGGUUUAAAUUUAUUAUAGGAAUUACUAGGAUUUGAUUUAGGACUUAGAAUUUGGUUAGGAUUUGAUUUAGGAUUAGGAUUUGAUUAAGGUUUGAUUUAGGAUUUAUGAUUUGGUUAGGAUUUGAUUUAGAAUUUAAGUUAUAGUUAGUUUUUGGCCUAAAGUUUGAUUGCAAUCCAAUAGGAUUUUAAAUAAGAUUAAAUUAAGAUUAGAUUAAGAUUUAUUUGAGAUAUAUUUGUGACCAUUCUAAUAUUUCUUUAAGAUUUUUUAAUAUUUUUUUUGUAAUUAUUUUAAGGUUUCUUUGAAUUGAUUAAAGCUUACAGUAGAAUAGGCAAAUAAACUUUGUGGUAAGUUAUUGGUUGGUUAUUGAUAACCUUGAGAAUUAGACUGAUGGUUAGGCAGUUUAGUUGAUAAAAGUAGGUUAUUAGUGGAAUAAAUGGUUAAGAAUUCAAAGGGUCAUAACCUUUGGAAUCUGCUGACUGAUGGAUCAUCUUUUUGGUUGCAUAAAGAGGUUGAGAAAAGGGAGAUUGGGGCCAGAUUGUGAUAGUCAUAAGCCAGGGCAAGCUUGGUGCUACUUCUUUUUGUUUCUUUAUUGUUGACGAGUAAUAGAUAGUUUUUGAAUACUGAGAAGUUAGUCUGAAGUGCCAAACUAUGAGAGUCGUAAGUCAAGAUAUUGAAUUCUAUGUGAUGAAUUGAGAAAUUGAAUACAAUAGAUAAGUUGGAGAUCAGUAAUUGAAUAUAUAUAAACCACAAAGAAAGUAAGUGGGAGAUGAACAAAUAAGAAUAUGAAAAUAUUAUUGAAUUGAUAGUCGAAGAAUGGAUUAUGGGUUGAAUUAAGAUGGAAGUAGUAAGCCUUGGUGUUUUGUAGUUUGAUAAUUGAUUUCAGAUAGCCAAAGUACAAUCAAUUGUGACACUAACAGAUCCAAUUCAUAUAACUAGUCUUUUUUCGUGUUCAAAUCUACUUCUAUUAGUUCAAUUGCUUUGGUAUAUUGAAGCUUGAACACAAU